rnacentral:rRNA from 1 species
UACGGAGGAUCCAAGCGUUAUCCGGAUUUAUUGGGUUUAAAGGGUGCGUAGGCGGAUAAUUAAGUCAGGGGUGAAAGCCGGCAGCUCAACUGUCGAAUAGCCUUUGAUACUGGUUGUCUUGAGUAUAGUUGAAGUGGGCGGAAUGCGGCAUGUAGCGGUGAAAUGCGUAGAUAUGCCGCAGAACACCGAUAGCGAAGGCAGCUCACUAAGCUAUUACUGACGCUGAUGCACGAAAGCGUGGGUAG